rnacentral:rRNA from 1 species
GGCUACAAUCAUUAGCACGCCUGAUCUUGUCUGAUCUCAGAAGCUAAGCAGGCAGAUUCUGCUGGUAGACCACCUAGAAAUAGUGGGUCCUGUAGCUU